AACGUAGGACGCAAGCGUUAUCCGGAGUUACUGGGCGUAAAGCGCGGGAAGGCGGUCGUCCAAGUCUGAGGUGAAAGCGCCCGGCUCAACCGGGCGAGGCCCUUGGAAACUGGUCGACUGGAAGGCGAGAGAGGUGGGCGGAAUUCCGGGUGGAGUGGUGAAAUGCGUAGAGAUCCGGAGGAACACCAGAGGCGCAGGCGGCCCACUGGCUCGCCCUUGACGCUGCACCGCGAAAGCUAGGGGAGCGAACGGG
rnacentral:rRNA from 1 species